CAAGCGGAGGAGCAUGUGGUUUAAUUCGAUGAUACGCGAGGAACCUUACCUGGGCUCGAACGUAAGAUGACUGUAGGUGAAAGCUUACAUCUCUUCGGAGCAUUUUACGAGGUGCUGCAUGGUUGUCGUCAGCUCGUGCCGUGAGGUGUCGGGUUAAGUCCCAUAACGAGCGCAACCCUACCUUUAGUUGCCAUCAGGUAAUGCUGGGGACUCUAAAGGAACUGCCCACGCAAGUAGUGAGGAAGGCGGGGAUGACGUCAAAUCAGCACGGCCCUUACGUCCAGGGCUACACACGUGCUACAAUGGCCGAUACAGAGGGCAGCUACCUGGUGACAGGAUGCAAAUCUCCAAAGUCGGUCUCAGUUCGGAUCGGAGUCUGCAACCCGACUCCGUGAAGUUGGAUUCGCUAGUAAUCGCGCAUCAGCCAUGGCGCGGUGAAUACGUUCCCGGGCCUU
rnacentral:rRNA from 1 species